CAGUCGCCACGGUAAUACGUAGGGUGCGAGCGUUAAUCGGAGUUACUGGGCGUAAAGCGUACGCAGGCGGUUCGUUAAGACAGAUGUGAAAUCCCCGGGCUUAACCUGGGAACUGCAUUUGUGACUGGCGAGCUAGAGUAUGGCAGAGGGGGGUAGAAUUCCACGUGUAGCAGUGAAAUGCGUAGAGAUGUGGAGGAAUACCGAUGGCGAAGGCAGCCCCCUGGGCCAAUACUGACGCUCAUGCACGAAAGCGUGGGGAGCAAACAGGAUUAGAUACCCGCGUAGUCCCUGUCUCUUAUAC
rnacentral:rRNA from 1 species